rnacentral:rRNA from 1 species
GACGAACGCUGGCGGCGUGCUUAACACAUGCAAGUCGAACGGAAAGGCCCUGCUUUUGUGGGGUGCUCGAGUGGCGAACGGGUGAGUAACACGUGAGUAACCUGCCCUUGACUUUGGGAUAACUUCAGGAAACUGGGGCUAAUACCGGAUAGGAGCUCCUGCUGCAUGGUGGGGGUUGGAAAGUUUCGGCGGUUGGGGAUGGACUCGCGGCUUAUCAGCUUGUUGGUGGGGUAGUGGCUUACCAAGGCUUUGACGGGUAGCCGGCCUGAGAGGGUGACCGGACACAGUGGGACUGAGAUACGGACCGGACUGCAACGGGAGGCGGCAGUGGGGGAUGUUGCACAAUGGGCGUGAGGCUGAUGCAGAAGCGCCGCGUGCGGGAAGACGGGUUGUGGGUAGGAAACAGCAGUCGCCUGUGACGCAGCGUGAGUGACGGUAACGGGUGAAGAAGCACCGGCUAACUCCGUG